UACGUAGGGGGCAAGCGUUGUCCGGAAUUAUUGGGCGUAAAGAGCGUGUAGGCGGUCCGGUAAGUCAGCUGUGAAAGUCAAGGGCUCAACCCUUGAAUGCCGGUUGAUACUGUCGGGCUAGAGUCCGGAAGAGGCGAGUGGAAUUCCCGGUGUAGCGGUGAAAUGCGUAGAUAUCAGGAGGAACACCGGUGGCGAAGGCGGAUCUCUGGGCCUUACCUGACGCUGAGGAGCGAAAGCGUGGGGAGCGAACAGG
rnacentral:rRNA from 1 species